CAUUAAGAGUGUCUCAUGCAAGCCGUGCAGGGCUAAGCAUGCUCAGUGUAAAUUCUCCUGUAGCCUGUCAAGCUAUGUUUGAACCCGUUCCAGAAUACUGGAUUUACUUUUUUUUUUUUUUCCACGAGGAAGAAUGCUCGAUUAGACUGCAUUUUGCCCUGCUUUUCUCUCUCUUUCUUCCCUUUCUUUCUUUCUCUCUUUCUUUCUCUUUCUUUUCCCUCUCAUUUCUUCCUGCCAGAAGAUUGGAAACAAUAUCCUUUUCCGAUCAGUUCAGUAAUACAAUGUCCUUCAAUGUUCACACGAGCAUUUCAGUGGAGAAGAAAAGAAACUUUGCUACCUGGGAACAGAAGACUACUUAGGUCUGUGAAUGCUAAUAAAGUCCUUAAGGACUUCUGGAGCCAGGAGUUAACUUUUCUCAACUGUUAAGUAGAGACGCCGGUGUUCCACAUCCUGUUGGACUCAUCUCUCCAGGACGGUAGCGCUCCGGGAAAAAUUCCCUACCGAAGGGGAACCAAGAGCCUGGAGGAUCUCUUAGAAAGAAACCGCAUCAUCAACUAAGGUGGAAAAGUAACAAAGAGCUUGAAGACUUUCAUGGAUCCCAGGCCCUGGAUGGAGGCAGGCGGCUUCAGACAGCAUCAGACAGAGAACCAAGAAAGCCGAGGGGCAGCCGGAAGGUGCCUGUGGCUGCCGAGCCCAGACUUGUCUUUGGAAAAGACUCAGAAGAGCCAGUAAACUUGGCUUCUUCAGUUCUGCUUCUCAUACGCAGGCAAAUGGUUUGAAGACGCUGGCCUAGCAAGAUGGCAACAGGUUUAAAAAAACAGGAUUCACAAGAAGUUCCUUUUUUCAGGUAAUUCUAUUUUCCUAUAAUUUCCCCAAACCUUCCAUUUCCUCAAGUAUUACAAGUUCUUAGGGCAUGCUUGAAUCAUUUAAUUUUGAAGAAUAACUACUUUAAGCUUAUUUUUUGACAAUAGCAGCCAGUUUUAUAAUAUUUGUAGCCAACGAGCAGAUUAUUCAAUUCUGUGGAGCUCAGAAAAAUAUUUUGAAAGUUAUUGCUUAACAGUGCUUAUUUCUUUUGACAGCGAUUUAGGCAAACCUCAUUUGACACCAUCAGGCGCCGUUCUUAAACUCUGUGGCUAUCUUUAGUGAUUGUACUUAGAAAUAUAAGUAUUAGAGGAUUAUCUCUAAAAAGCCUAACAUGUGCUCUGAAUUCCUGGAAGAUAUGGCUUAUAGAAGCUGCAUAAUAACUGGUGCUUUAUAACAUAAUAAUGGCAUAAUAGUUGAUGUUUUAACUUUAGUCCUAGAUUAGUACUACAUACAGUAUGUAGACAUAUUUUAUACAACUAUGCUUACACAGGUCCAGUGACUAGGAUUUGAGCUCAGCUAUCGUGAUAUAAGUAGCUUCCUUUCAGUGUUAUUGGAGGACUUUGUGGUACGUAAAUAUGUUUAAUAACACAAAUGAUAUAUUUGCUUGAUAAAUUACCUUACCCUACUUUUGCCAUUGUUUAUAGGUAUUUGCCUACAUUUUCCAAGUUAAUUAUUAGUGUUACUAUCUAAGGUAGCCCCACAGAAUCUUGCUUAAGAAAGCAGGACAAACUUUACUCUGAAAAGAACCCUUAUUAUUCUACUCAACACAAAGAUGGUUCUUGAAGGAGGUAUUCAAUUGAUAUUUGGGGAAAAUGUCUAUUCCCAAAUAAACCAUUCUUCUACUAGGUCGGUAUCUUAACUUUCUCUUUUCUCUGCCACCUGGGCAUCUUCUGAUUUCUCUGUUAUUUUCUAAAAUUAAAACUCUGGAUUGUUUGGAAAUUAACACUACAAACCCUUCAGAAUGAAUAACUUUUCUCUGUCCUGUAUUUUCCACACACACACACACACAAAAAGACACAGAGAAGCCCCCAAUUGAAACACGGCAUUGAGCUCCUUUUUAUGGACUUGGAGGGUGCAGAUUUACAAAGGUGAUGCUUCUUGAAUGAUUCAGUGUAACACUCUGACAGAUCUUCAUCCGUUGCUAACGAAUAUUGCAUCCUGUCUUUUUAAUAAAUGAUAACAACAGUUCUGGUCACUUUGGGAGCCUGAGCCUAUUCCUUUAUACAUUAAUAAGAGCUCCUAUGUCACACACAUUCCAGCCAUCCUUAACAGUGUGCAAAGUGCCCAUCCUCAAAUACCUCUGGCCCUAUGACCUUGUCAGGGAGAUCAAAGAAAAAUAAGAGGCUUGGAGUUUAUUUUAAAACCUUUUGUUCUAUAAAGGAAAUGAACAUUUUAAAAUAACAGAAAGUCCAAACCAUUUUGAGGUAACUGGUUUGGAUCCUCCUUGCUUCCACUUGGGAUUGUUGUUUCUUUGAAUCUAAAAGUCCAGCCACGGAGCUGCAACGAAAUUCUCGGUCUUGGCAACCUUCACAGCACCAGUGAACUCUGAGCAGUGAUGCUUGUGGCUCCAUCGUGAUUAAACAGGCAGACAAUGAAGUGUCUAUGAACCAUUGCCUCCUCUUCCCUGUUUGUCCCACUGUUGGUUUCCUGUUCUCUCGCUUCCACCUUUUAAGUUGUAUACGUCGGGGCCUGCUCUUUUCUCUGAAUAAUUCUCAAAUUCAGCUGUGUUUUUUUGUUAUUAGGAGAGCCUCCCAGAUUCUUGAGGUAGGAAUGAAUGUUCCUCUGUCACGGCAAAGAUCUUUUUUUUUUUUGAGAACCAGCAUCUACGGUCAUUGCUAACAAAAGUUGAAAAGGUCUCUUUUUAGAUCCUACAAAGAGAUGGAGGCAUAUGUUUUUCCCCACAUCUAGGGAGAUGGAUGAUUUUGCUUUCCAUCAUUUGUCUUUGAAGUACUCACGCUUCAGACUCUGUCCUCAAUAAAAUUCACAAAAGGAGCCAUUAAUGAAAGUACAUUGUCUUGGCUACUCCUUUACUUGUAGAACACUGAUUAUGAAGAAAGGAUGUUACGCUGACAAACAAAAUCCUUUUAUGAGAAAUCCUUAGAAAUAGAGUCAUUCCCACAACCUGGGACAGUUUUGAGGGGAGCAACUAUACAAUUUCUUUUCUGGUUCAGAUUUUAUAAAAUAUGCCCAGACUUGCUCAUUGUUGGUGUUUGGACCAAUAACAGGGGCGGAGUGAGGGUGAAAUACAAACUUUUCCUCAUGAUGAAUCUUCCAAUUUAAUGUAACUGGAAAUCUCUAGAAUAAUUUUCAGGAAAUACUAACAAGCCCAUAGGCGGUGCUUGCUAGUUUAUUACAGCUGUUUGCCAGAACGCAAAUAAAAAAGGAAAAAUUCACCAUCUUUUUUUCAUGUAAUUACAGGUAUUUAAAAGAAUGAACUUGCACUUGGGUUCUCCAGUGUUUCUCUCUUUCUCUCCCUACAACUGAAAGACUUUUCUUUAUUCUGCUCAUUUGCCAUCACUAUGCUCCGUGUGUGUGUUAAGGCCUGAAUAAAUGAGUCUUCUGUAAUAUUAAACAGUAAAAUGAUGAGGUUUACCUGAAGCCCAUUGUGUCUGUGGAAUAAGUGAAAACAGGGAAGUAUGUGGGGGAGAACCUAGAAGAUGCUGCUUAACUUUUGCCCUUUUAAGAGUGGGAUGAAGUCUUCCCGUUUCUGGCGUGAAAUGAUAGAAUGGCAGAACCUUCGGUUGGACUAAUGGUGUUAACGUUUCAUUUUCAGACAUGUCAGACACCCACACGAGAGAGAUACUAAGGCCUGUUGCCACAAACCCGUAGAUCCGAACUUGUGAUGAUAGCCCACACAAGCUUGUGUCUAUAGGUAUGUGUCUGUGGGCAAUCUCACAGGCCGCGGGCUUUGCCUGUCUGCCAUCAAAGUCCCUUCCAAUUCCUUGAUUCUCCUUCUCUUCCCCUUAGUUUCCUCUAAGAGGGGUAGACACGGAAAGAGGGGCUGGUGCGGAGGAAGGAGAUCUUUUGUCCUGAAAUGGAUGAGGCUCUUCAAUGAUUAAUUUAUAGGCUCGCCCUCAAUUCCCUUCUUUCUUCUAACUGCUCUCAGCUGUCAGACAAAGAGCCUGGGCUCACAGGUGAGGCAGCAGGAAUGGGGGUGACUCAGACAACUUACUAUUGAGUGGUGAGUAAAUAGAUAUAUACACGAGGGUUUGUUUUGUUUUCUGUGAGCCUGACAUUGUUUUCAAAGUUAUCCCGUGAUCUUUUUUGGAAAGUGACAGAGACUUGUUUACAAGACCCAGUUCACCCUGGUUUGGGUUGUAUCAGUACCUUGUAGUAAGUCUUCCUUUCCCAUUGUUCUCCAAGUGCCAUCAAAUCAGUCCUUGCCUUUAAAAAUAAAAGUAAUGAGGGGAAUGGAUGUGCUUAACUAUUUAUACUUCUGGACAUACCCAGCAAUGUAAGAAAAAGAACUUUUAUAAAAAAGAAAUGGCUCGUUUAGGUCCAGCUUCAUAUUUGUCCAGAGCUGUUUUAUAACUCUUCACCAUGCUUAAAAGGCUGGAAUGAAAAUAAUUUUAUCCCCUUGCCUCUUAAAUGUCACCAUUGUGCCAGGAUUGGAAAGCCAAACUGACUCCAGAUCAAAGCAAAAUUGGCUAUAUUUGUCUCAUUCCAACAAUGUGAGCUGAAGAGUCUGUAAACAGAACCCAGGGUGAAAAGUUGAUCAGAUUUGGAUGACUCUGAAACUUUUGCAUUCCCUUUUGGUCAAACAUAGUGCCAGGAGUUCCCUUAAGGCUUUUUUUUUUUUUUUUUUUUUGGUGAA